rnacentral:lncRNA from 1 species
GUUGGAAUUCAGUUGGUCACCCGUAUUGUUGACCAAGCAUGACUGUGCAAAAAGUUUUCCCUGUGUGUUGCAAUCUCAUUGGCCACCUGUGUGUGGGCCGGGCUCAGCCACCUCUAUAAAGGAUUUUUAGGACCAGCCUUCCUUCCUGGUUUGUUUCUUGGUGAUUUUUCUCUUUAUCCGGAUCUAAAAUCUCUUCACCACAGUCUCUCAGAUUCUGGUCUUAAUGUAAACAGUAUGAAUAAGAAGCAGAGGUUUGCCUCAGUGGCUGGAGGAGAAAGUCCAGAGGUCAAAUACGGAGAGCUCUUGGGAGGGUCAAAGCAGGAAGGAGUUUUCACAGGUGAAAUCUCCCUCAGUUCUGGGUUAAAUCAUGCCCCCCCAAAAUGUCUCAAGCCCAAGUUUUGAAUGGACUCGUUGGAGGUUGGAGGCUGGAGGAUGGAGCCUGAGGUCCAUGGAAUGUGACUUUAUUUGGAAGUAGGGACCUUGAAGAUAGAACUGUGUUAAGGAUCUUAAGGUCACCUGGAUAAGACAUUUGCAUGUUGGCAGAAAGAUGGGCCUUAACUCCAAUGACUGAUAUUCUUCUAAGAGAAAGGAGAUGGAGUCUGAGACCUAGACACAGGAGCACACACAGGGAAAGGCCACGUCUUCAGAUGGCACAAAGAUUGCAGUGAUGGGUCUGUAAGCGAAAAAGCACCAAGGAUUUCUGACCACCAGCAGGAGCGAGGAGACAGGUAUGGAACGAUUCUCCCUCAGAAACAUGGGAAGGAACCAAUCCUGCUGACACCUUGAUGAGGAACUUCUGGCCUCCAGAAUGGUGAGAGAAUAGGUUUCUGUUGUUGGAAGCCACCAAGCCCAUGGUAAUGUUGAUGACAGCCAUCGGAAGCCAAUACACCCUCAGUAUCUCAUACCCUUCUCUUGCGUUUUGUUCUUGUUUCCCUUCUUGCCUGGUAAGCCAUUGAAUGCCUUUCCAGAAGACCUAUGUAGUCAGUCCUGGUAAGACUGGUCAGGCUGACAUCAAUUUCCUGAACAAGACUAUCACUGGAGUUUGCCCCACAAUAAGAACUACGUGAUAGGGCGCCUGGGUGGCUCAGUUGGUUAAGGGACUGCUUCGGCUCAGGUCAUGAUCCUGGAGUCCCGAGAUCGAGUCUCGCAUCAGGCUCCCUGCUCAGUGGGGAGUCUGCUUCUCCCUCUGUCCUUCCUUUCUCAUGCUUUCUCUCUCUCUCUUUCUCAUUCCCUCCCUCUCAAAUAAAUAAGUAAAAAUCUUAAAAAAAAAAAAUACACGUGAUAGACCAAUAGGGCCCUGGCUCUAAACAUUGACACAGAUAAAAGACAUUGUAAGAUGGUAUGCAAAACUCCAAUAGUGAUUUAAAGUUUACAAAGUAUUUAAAUCAAAGCCCAUCAAAAUCC